rnacentral:lncRNA from 10 species
GUCAGGACACCUCCAGGAUUGUUCCGGAGGAUCAACUCACUUUGGCUAUUAGGGAAUUCUGGUUCCCCACUAACCCUGGAAGUUUUCAGAGCAGUGUCCCCACAGUGGUCCCUGGGUGGACACCUUCUCCUUGAGGUGCCCAUGGGGAAGGCGUGGGGCAGAUGUGGAGCUGCUUCUCGACACUCCCUCUGAGCUUCCUCAGCACAGGGAGCAUCCCAGGCCCGCACUGGGUCACAGCGAGGGAGGCAGCCACUGAGACACUAAAGGACCCGUGUCCGUGAAGGAGGAAUGAAAAUCCACAUCUGCAAGAGAAAACUUCCGGGUCCACACGUUACUCUUACUAAACAAAUGUGACCACAGAAAGUCUAUUUACGGAUGCUGUCUUGCCUGCCGCCAUGUUAAGACAUGCCUUCGUUCCUCCUUCACUUUCUGCCAUAACUGUGAGGCCUCCCCAGCCACGUGUAACUGUGAGUCUAUUAAAUCUCUUUUUCAUUACAAA